AGUGAACGCUGGCGGUAGGCCUAACACAUGCCAGUCGAACGGCAGCACAGUAAGAGCUUGCUCUUACGGGUGGCGAGUGGCGGACGGGUGAGGAAUACAUCGGAAUCUACUUUUUCGUGGGGGAUAACGUAGGGAAACUUACGCUAAUACCGCAUACGACCUACGGGUGAAAGCAGGGGAUCUUCGGACCUUGCGCGAUUGAAUGAGCCGAUGUCGGAUUAGCUAGUUGGCGGGGUAAAGGCCCACCAAGGCGACGAUCCGUAGCUGGUCUGAGAGGAUGAUCAGCCACACUGGAACUGAGACACGGUCCAGACUCCUACGGGAGGCAGCAGUGGGGAAUAUUGGACAAUGGGCGCAAGCCUGAUCCAGCCAUACCGCGUGGGUGAAGAAGGCCUUCGGGUCGUAAAGCCCUUUUGUUGGGAAGGAAAAGCAGCAGGUUAAUACCCCGCUGUUCUGACGGUACCCAAAGAAUAAGCACCGGCUAACUUCGUG
rnacentral:rRNA from 1 species